rnacentral:lncRNA from 1 species
UGAGAACGGAAGCCAGCCUGUUGGGGCGACAGAUCACCAGAAAAGCAAGGACUGACCAGGAACAGGAGAAACUGUGGAGCUGUGGACAAAGAACCCCCAAUCAAAAACCUGAGAAGCAGCCGUUGCCAGGUGCGAAAAGACCCAAAUCAACCCAAGAUUCGAGUCUCCCCUACCCAGCCAAUCAGACAGAGGGACUCCUCUGCGCUCAGAUCAAUCCGAAAAGGAGGAGCAUCGAGGGCUCGUUAAAAAGAAGAUUUCUCUUAACAGUGGAACUUUCCAUUCGAAGCUCGAUUGAGUUGUUGAUCGCUCCGAAGCUGUGGGUCAGCCAAAUAACUUGUGACCUCCUUUCACAGGUAUGUAUAACAAGGUAAUGACAUUGCUUUUUAUAUAUUGUUUCAUUUAUGACUUCA